rnacentral:rRNA from 1 species
AUGCACGCUAGCGGGAGGCCUCACACAUGCAAGCCGAGCGGUAUUUGUUCUUCGGAACAGAGAGAGCGGCGCACGGGUGCGGAACACGUGUGCAACCUGCCUUUAUCUGGGGGAUAGCCUUUCGAAAGGAAGAUUAAUACCCCAUAAUAUAUUGAGUGGCAUCAUUUGAUAUUGAAAACUCCGGUGGAUAGAGAUGGGCACGCGCAAGAUUAGAUAGUUGGUGAGGUAACGGCUCACCAAGUCAAUGAUCUUUAGGGGGCCUGAGAGGGUGAUCCCCCACACUGGUACUGAGACACGGACCAGACUCCUACGGGAGGCAGCAGUGAGGAAUAUUGGACAAUGGGUUAGCGCCUGAUCCAGCCAUCCCGCGUGAAGGACGACGGCCCUAUGGGUUGUAAACUUCUUUUGUAUAGGGAUAAACCUACUCUCGUGAGAGUAGCUGAAGGUACUAUACGAAUAAGCACCGGCUAACUCCGUG